AGUGAACGCUGGCGGUAGGCCUAACACAUGCAAGUCGAACGGCAGCACAGUAAGAGCUUGCUCUUACGGGUGGCGAGUGGCGGACGGGUGAGGAAUACAUCGGAAUCUACUUUUUCGUGGGGGAUAACGUAGGGAAACUUACGCUAAUACCGCAUACGACCUACGGGUGAAAGCAGGGGAUCUUCGGACCUUGCGCGAUUGAAUGAGCCGAUGUCGGAUUAGCUAGUUGGCGGGGUAAAGGCCCACCAAGGCGACGAUCCGUAGCUGGUCUGAGAGGAUGAUCAGCCACACUGGAACUGAGUCACGGUCCAGACUCCUACGGGAGGCAGCAGUGGGGAAUAUUGGACAAAGGGCGCAAGCCUGAUCCAGCCAUACCGCGUGGGUGAAGAAGGCCUUCGGGUUGUAAAGCCCUUUUGUUGGGAAAGAAAAGCAGCAGGUUAAUACCCCGCUGUUCUGACGGUACCCAAAGAAUAAGCACCGGCUAACUUCGUG
rnacentral:rRNA from 1 species